CUUGGCUGCGUAAGUGACUAGUGCUAGUAUUUGUGGUAAGGCUACCAGGCCCGUUGUAGCGGUCUGAGGGGUUUCGCCCAUGGAAUGGACCGGCCCAAUUCUUCGGAGGCGCCUUGGGAUUUGGCAAUGGGGAACUUGAUCCGCCAACCGCGUUGGGAGAAGGCUUUUGGUUUAAACACUUUAUCUAGAAGGAGACACCGAGAUAAUACUCUUGGAUCGCUUGACGUUAUUGCACCAUAAGCACCGGCUAACUUUGUGCCAGCAGCCGCGGUAAUACAGAGGUGCAAGCGUUAUCGGAUUUACUGGGCGUAAAGCGCGCGUAGGUGGCCAUUUAAGUCAAAUGUGAAAUCCCCGAGCUUAACUUGGGAAUUGCAUUCGAUACUGGUGGGCUAGAGUAUGGGAGAGGAUGGUAGAAUUCCAGGUGUAGCGGUGAAAUGCGUAGAGAUCUGGAGGAAUACCGAUGGCGAAGGCAGCCAUCUGGCCUAAUACUGACACUGAGGUGCGAAAGCAUGGGGAGCAAACAGGAUUAGAUACCCUGGUAGUCCAUGCCGUAAACGAUGUCUACUAACCGUUGGGGCGUUUGAGGCCUUAGUGGCGCAGCUAAAGCGAUAAAUAGACCGCCCGGGGAGUACGGUCGCAAGAGUUAAAAUCAAAAGAAUUUACGGGGGGCCGCACAAGCGGUGGAGCAUGUGGUUUAAUUUGAUGCAAAGCGAAAAACCUUUCCUGGUCUUGACAUAGUAAGAACUUUCCAGAGAUGGAUUGGUUCCUUUGGGAAGUUACAUACAGGUGCUGCAUGGCGGUCGUCAGCUCGUGUUUUGAGAUGUUGGGUUAAGUCCCGCAACGAGCGCAACCCUUUUCCUUAUUUGCCAGCGGGUUAAGCCGGGAACUUUAAGGAUACUGCCAGUGACAAACUGGAGGAAGGCGGGGACGACGUCAAGUCAUCAUGGCCCUUACGACCAGGGCUACACACGUGCUACAAUGGUAGGUACAAAGGGUUGCUACCUCGCGAGAGGAUGCUAAUCUCAAAAAGCCGAUCGUAGUCCGGAUUGGAGUCUGCAACUCGACUCCAUGAAGUCGGAAUCGCUAGUAAUCGCGGAUCAGAAUGCCGCGGUGAAUACGUUCCCGGCCCUUGUACACACCGCCCGUCACACCAUGGGAGUUUGUUACCACCCAGAAAGUAGGGGAGUCUAACCU
rnacentral:rRNA from 1 species